UGUUCCUCAUGCGUCCAGUAGGGGGAGGUUGUAUAUUAGUAUAUGAGCCUAGUCAUCAAAACAGCAGACCAUAUCUGUAUGAUAGCAGCAGACAUUUUUUGAAGCGAUACAAAUUGAGCUUGUGUGACAUGGCUUCUUCUGGUAAGACCCUGUUUACUCCUUGCAUUUAAACAUACUCCACAUGGUUUCUGGAGCACAUUAGAGUGGAUAAUCACAAAGGUGUGAAUUUUUUUUUUUUUUUUUUUUUUUUUUUUUUUGACAGUCUAUGAUGUGAACACACAAAAUACACAUUUAUAUAAGCAUGUAUGUAUGUAUGCAAAUCUCUAAGUCUCUGCACAAGUUGAACUGCACACUCACUCAAGCAUUUUGUCAAAUAAUACAAACAUAUGUCAUGCAUGUUAAACCUACAUUAAAAACUUUGGUCUCAUAUGGUUUAAAUGUAGAUUUUGAUUUGAGUUGUUUCUUAUAAAUGAAAUGAUCUAAUUCUCUAAUGUAUAUCUUAAUAUACAGUUUUCUUAAAAUAGCUUACUUAUCUGGACAAAUAUAUGUGCAUUUAAUGUGUGUUUUAUCAUACUCUGUCUUUAGUUCUUUAACUUGUAUCUCAUAAAGGUGUGUGUUUGCUUUAGCUACUUAAGAAAAUUAAAAUCUCUCUUUCUAAACAAGUAUAAACUAAAAAAACCCAUCUCUUUCUCUCUUCAGGGGAAGAAAUAAUAUCUAUACAGAGAGGUUGCAACUUACCUGCGCUUAACAGAUGCACCUCCUGCUGUUCCCUAUUUCACUGUCCUUUCUGUAAUUCUGAUUUUUUCAAGCCCUCAAAGAAAAGUAAAGUACAAACUCAUCUUAAGCUUCACUUUUCUAGGGCAGUCGUCCAUGAAGAUUAUACAAUCCACCGGUGUGGUCUAGGUUGUGUGUCACAAUUACAACUACCACUAGAAUCUACAGGAGUCAUGG